UACGUAGGGUGCAAGCGUUGUCCGGAAUUAUUGGGCGUAAAGAGCUCGUAGGCGGUUCGUCGCGUCGGCUGUGAAAACCCGGGGCUCAACCCCGGGCCUGCAGCCGAUACGGGCAGACUAGAGUUCGGCAGGGGAGACUGGAAUUCCUGGUGUAGCGGUGAAAUGCGCAGAUAUCAGGAGGAACACCGGUGGCGAAGGCGGGACUCUGGGCCGAUACUGACGCUGGAGGAGCGAAAGCGUGGGGAGCGAACAGG
rnacentral:rRNA from 1 species